rnacentral:rRNA from 1 species
GCUCCUUGAUUCAGCGGCGGACGGGUGAGUAAUGCCUAGGAAUCUGCCUGGUAGUGGGGGACAACGUUUCGAAAGGAACGCUAAUACCGCAUACGUCCUACGGGAGAAAGCAGGGGACCUUCGGGCCUUGCGCUAUCAGAUGAGCCUAGGUCGGAUUAGCUUGUUGGUGAGGUAAUGGCUCACCAAGGCGACGAUCCGUAACUGGUCUGAGAGGAUGAUCAGUCACACUGGAACUGAGACACGGUCCAGACUCCUACGGGAGGCAGCAGUGGGGAAUAUUGGACAAUGGGCGAAAGCCUGAUCCAGCCAUGCCGCGUGUGUGAAGAAGGUCUUCGGAUUGUAAAGCACUUUAAGUUGGGAGGAAGGGCAGUAAGCUAAUACCUUGCUGUUUUGACGUUACCGACAGAAUAAGCACCGGCUAACUCUGUGCCAGCAGCCGCGGUAAUACAGAGGGUGCAAGCGUUAAUCGGAAUUACUGGGCGUAAAGCGCGCGUAGGUGGUUUGUUAAGUUGGAUGUG